UUUGACUCGACUUGCACACAUUAGAUUCGACCAAUAUGAAAAAAAUCAAUCAAACUCGAAUCACUUCUGAUAAUUUAUUAAAAUACAAUGGUGAAGGGGAACACAGCUUUUCAUAGUUAAAUUUACAAAAUAUGUGCAUGAAAAUAAUAAUAAGUGCUAUGAGAAAGGGGUUAAUUUACGCAUUAUUUAGCACUUAUCAGCAAUUAGUCUAAUUAGCUGGGACAAGGUCCAAAUAGCCUUAAGCAACCAAAAUUAAUUAAAGGAUGUAUCUGAUUUGUUGCACCACCAAUCUACACUACAGAAAAUCUGUGCUUUUUUCGACGUUUUUUUCCCGACGCUUGGAGGAAGCGUCGGAAGAUUUUAGUUUAGCGCCGAACUUUGACAACGCUUUUAAAAAGCGUCAGUAAAUCUUCAGAAUCAACGAUGCUUAAAAAGCAUCGAUGAAAGCCCUUCACAACCGCUCGCCCCCCUCAACUUGUACUCUCUCGAUCGAU
rnacentral:lncRNA from 1 species